AUUGAACGCUGGCGGCAGGCCUAACACAUGCAAGUCGAGCGGAUGAAGGGGGCUUUCUCCUGUAUUCAGCGGCGGACGGGUGAGUAAUGCCUAGGAAUCUGCCUGGUCGUGGGGGCUAACGUCCGGACACGGGCGCUAAUACCGCAUACGUCCUGAGGUAGAAAGUGGGGGAUCUUCGGACCUCACGCUAUCAGAUGAGCCUAGGUCGGAUUAGCUAGUUGGUGGGGUAAAGGCCUACCAAGGCGACGAUCCGUAACUGGUCUGAGAGGAUGAUCAGUCACACUGGAACUGAGACACGGUCCAGACUCCUACGGGAGGCAGCAGUGGGGAAUAUUGGACAAUGGGCGAAAGCCUGAUCCAGCAAUGCCGCGUGUGUGAAGAAGGUCUUCGGAUUGUAAAGCACUUUAAGUUGGGAGGAAGGGCAGUAAGUUAAUACCUUGCUGUUUUGACGUUACCAACAGAAUAAGCACCGGCUAACUUCGUG
rnacentral:rRNA from 1 species